rnacentral:rRNA from 1 species
UGGGGAAUAUUGGACAAUGGGGGAAACCCUGAUCCAGCGACGCCGCGUGAGUGAAGAAGUAUUUCGGUAUGUAAAGCUCUAUCAGCAGGGAAGAAAAUGACGGUACCUGACUAAGAAGCCCCGGCUAACUACGUGCCAGCAGCCGCGGUAAUACGUAGGGGGCAAGCGUUAUCCGGAUUUACUGGGUGUAAAGGGAGCGCAGACGGCGAAGCAAGUCUGAAGUGAAAUGCAUGGGCUCAACCCAUGAAUUGCUUUGGAAACUGUUUGGCUUGAGUGUCGGAGGGGUAAGCGGAAUUCCUAGUGUAGCGGUGAAAUGCGUAGAUAUUAGGAGGAACACCGGAGGCGAAGGCGGCUUACUGGACGACAACUGACGUUGAGGCUCGAAGGCGUGGGGAGCAAACAGGAUUAGAUACCCUGGUAGUCCACGCAGUAAACGAUGAAUACUUGGUGUCGGGGAGGUAAACUCUUCGGUGCCGCAAGCAAACGCAUUAAGUAUUCCACCUGGGGAGUACGUUCGCAAGAAUG